rnacentral:tRNA from 1 species
AAAGAAUUAGUUAAACCAAAAUAACUUAAAUAUGUCAAAUUUAAAUUAUUACUAAAUAUGUAAUAUUCUUUU